GACGAACGCUGGCGGCGUGCUUAACACAUGCAAGUCGAACGGAAAGGCCCUGCUUUUGUGGGGUGCUCGAGUGGCGAACGGGUGAGUAACACGUGAGUAACCUGCCCUUGACUUUGGGAUAACUUCAGGAAACUGGGGCUAAUACCGGAUAGGAGCUCCUGCUGCAUGGUGGGGGUUGGAAAGUUUCGGCGGUUGGGGAUGGACUCGCGGCUUAUCAGCUUGUUGGUGGGGUAGUGGCUUACCAAGGCUUUGACGGGUAGCCGGCCUGAGAGGGUGACCGGCCACAUUGGGACUGAGAGACGGCCCAGACUCCUACGGGAGGCAGCAGUGGGGAAUAUUGCACAAUGGGCGGAAGCCUGAGGCAGCGACGCCGCGUGCGGGAUGACGGCCUUCGGGUUGUAAACCGCUUUCGCCUGUGACGAAGCGUGAGUGACGGUAAUGGGUAAAGAAGCACCGGCUAACUACGUG
rnacentral:rRNA from 1 species